CAUAUGAUAUUAUAUAUAUACACAUCCCUAGCGGGCAGGAUCUUUUCAAACAUAAUGAAAAGGAUCAUAAUCAGUCUAGGUAAUAAAAAAAAAA
rnacentral:snoRNA from 1 species